AUGGCAAUAGUUCAAUACACAUUUGACAAGAUAAAUGCGUACUUUCUAAAGUACUCAAUGGAAACGGAUGCAUAGAUAGCGGGUGAGAACAAGCACAAGUACAAGUUCCCACCCAAGAUUGAUGAAUGGUUGGAAUUUCAAUAACGGAAGGUGGACUCACAAGAAGCUGUACUAUAUGACAACGAAGGUUGGUCGUACGAAGUGAAAGAGCCAGGAGGAACCAGAAAUGAUGGCCGCCAACAUGGAGGUCGGGAUUUCAAGGUAUCGCUAACACGGUGUGAUUGCUCUUGCGGGAGGCCAUUGUUGCUUCAUCUCCCAUGCUCACACUUGUAUACCGCCGGUCCUGUUAGGAAUGUUGACGUCAAUUACCCCCUCACCAUGAGGGAGUCGGAGUUCUCAAUCAUGAAGGUCAAGAAUACAUGGGCUCCCCGCUUUCACUCAUACUUUGACCAAUCACAAUGGACGGAGUACCAUGGACUUCAACUAUGGCCGGAUUCGGAGUUGAAGGUUGUUAAAUGGGGUAGACGUAAGACAAAGUGUCUUUAA
rnacentral:rRNA from 1 species